UGGGGGUAGUUGGGGAACGGAUGAUUUAGCAUUGCCAGAGCCAUAUUGCCAGGUGGUUUGGCUUUCAGCAGUAGGCUUCCUUAAUGGUUCAAAAAAUAUCAUAUAAUUGGGUAAAUGAAAGCAACAAGUACAAAAUUACUACAAAAAAAAAAAUUAAGCGGUUAGAAUAGAACUUGUGCCCUACAAUUAGUAUACGCUCCACUCAUUCUUGUGCUAAU